AUCGCGGCUGGCAGAUGCCGAAAGGUGCCAGGUGAGGAAAGUCCGGGCUUCACAGGGCAGGAUGCCGGAUAACGUCCGGCGGAGGUGACUCCAGGGACAGUGCAACAGAAAUGAACCACCGUCUUUGGACGGUAAGGGUGGAAGGGCAGUGUAAGAGACUACCGCCCGGCUGGUAACAGCCGGGGCACAUGUAAACCCCAUCCGAAGCAAGACCGGAUCGAAAACAAUGUGGCGGCCCGUCACGUUUUCAGGUAGGUCGCUUGAGGCUGCCGGCAACGGCAGUCCUGGAUAGAUGAUUACACACGACAUAACCCGGCUUAUCGUUCUGCUUA
rnacentral:RNase_P_RNA from 1 species